CCUAUAGUGGGCCUCAAAUAAUGUGUGACUACCC
rnacentral:rRNA from 1 species